UUUAGGAUUUGAUUAAUUGUGGAUUUCUCGAACUCGUAUUAGCUUUUACGGUCUGGACUAAUUUUCUCUGUUGUACUUUGCGCGUUCCUAUUAGUAAUCCAGAAUGUUCCUAUUUGGCUGGCAAUAAAAUUUGAAGUUGGGAAUAAUACUUGUUGAUUUUUUUUUUGACUACGACUUCUCCUUUCUUUCUUUGCUUUAUAGUACCACUUCCCGCCAGAUUAUAGUCAAGUCUUAGCUUGUUGUAAAGAAAGAAACUACUUUUAUUUUUGUAUUUUUCUUUUUCUUGGCAAGCACCAUUAUCUUUUUGGCUACUUUUUAUUGUGUAACUAUAUUGUAUUAUUGUACUAGUUUAUUUUCUCCUAAUUGGGGUUUGCCCUUUUUUAAACCAUAUAUCUUACAAUUUCACCUUCCUCCUUGACGCAGGCUACGAGCAGUGUUGAAUCUGCCUCCGCAAUAAUUCUCUUCAAGCCCAUUUCCACGUAGAACUUGAGCCCCAAUAGCAUGACCUUACCCUCGGCUUCGUUGCUUGUUCCCUUUCCCAGAAAGAAUGAGUAUGCUAAGACGAAAUUUCCAAAAAUGUCUCUUAUAAUUUCUCCUGCUCCACUAUUCCCUUCUUGGCAACUUCCAUCACUAUUUAGCUUAUAGGACAUCGGUGGUGGUUUCACCCAUCUCACCAUCUUACUAGUUCUAUGCACCAUAGGUUGAUCAAUGAGUUUUUGUAACUGAUCCCACGAGAGUUGUUGUUGUAGCUUUCCGAACAUUUGUCUGACUACCUUUGCUAGAUUUGCGGUUAUGAACUUUUCGGAUCUCCUGCUCUAUGGUGCUUCUCCCCCAUACUUUGAGGCGCAUCAGGAUCUCCACAACUCCCAUGUUAUGAUUGUAGGUAUACCCUAUGCAUGAAGGUUGUCACCAGAUUCAUAUAUUUAUGGUUCCACCAUAGGAGGAAUAUAUGGUUGUACUGUUGGUAUACAACUUGUAGACCAAACGGGGCAGCAAAUAUUUUCAAGAUAUCUUGAGCAUGUGUACAUAGUAAAAGAGAACCUCUCAACUCCAUUUUCGGAAAGGCUUUAGUUCUCUCUCUCCUCUAUCUUCAGCCUCUCUCCCUCUCAACUCCAUUUUUCUUUUACUUUUAGCUUUAAUUCUUGAAUUUUAUUUGCUUCCGAUCGGCCCAGCUCUUUCGCCGGCGAAGUUUAGCAGCAUCCCGUGUUUUAGGGCUUUCGGUCUUCCUUUGCUUUGUUUGCUUCAUCUGAUCUCUUCUUCUUCUUUUUUCCAUUCUCGAUCUUUUUCCCAUACAUCUAUUUUAUUUUCAAGUUUUUCCUAAAGAUUGUUCUUUUUCCAAGGUUUUUUCUGUUCUUUUGGAACUGAUUUUCCUCUAUUGAUUAAUUUUUUUCGUUUUUAGAUCUGAAUUUAUAUUCCAAACUUUUGUUGACUAGUAACCUUAGAUUUAAUAUUUUAAAAUAUAUAUUUACUUUUCCCUAAAAGUUUUUUAUAAAGGUUUUGAUUUAUAUUUGUUUAGCCGUUUAUAUUUUCUUUUAAGAUUCAACUUUCAUUUAUUGAAUGAAUAAAUGAAAUCACGUAUUCUCUCUCUCUUCCAAACCUAUCACGAUUUGCUGGCCUUAAACAGCUUUAAUUUCUUACUUUAACUAAUAAUCUAAUUCUCAUGUGUAAUAAUACCCUUUGAUUUGUUCUUCCUAAUUUCGGGUCGAUAUUAAACUGAGCUCGAUUUUGCCUUUCGUUUGCGUUCUCUUUUAUCUUAAGGGUUCAUUUGUGUGUUAUGUUCUUUAUGGUUAAUCAGCCUUUGAGGCAUUAAUUAUGCAUAUAAUUAAUCUCCUUGUAUCACUCUUCAAGCUCUCACCAGUUUUAGGAUUUGAUUAAGUGUGAAUUUCUCGAACUCGUAUUAGCUUUUACGGUCUGGACCAAUUUUCUAUGUUGUACUUUGCGCGUUCCUAUUAGUAAUCCGGAAUGUUCCUAUUUGGCUGGCAAUAAAAUUUGAAGUUGGGAAUUAUACUUGUUGAUUUCUUUUUGACUACGACUUCUCCUUUCUUUCUUUUCUUUAUAGUACCACUUCCAGCCAGAUUACAGUCAAGUCUUCGCUUAAGAAAGAAACUACUUUUUAUUUUUGUAUUUUUCUUUUUCUUGGCAAGCACCAUUAUCUUUUUAGCUAUUUUUUGUUGUGUAACUAUAUUGUAUUAUUGUACUAGUUUAUUUUCUCCUAAUUGGGGUUUGCCCUUUUUUAAUAUAUUGUGCUUUUAUCAACGUUGAGUUUUGGGUAUUUUCUGAUGGGGGGUUACUUUACUCUCUGAGUUUUCCCAGAUUUAGUUUUUGGUGUAAAAG
rnacentral:lncRNA from 1 species